rnacentral:misc_RNA from 1 species
GAUGAAGAACGCAGCGAAAUGCGAUAAGUAAUGUGAAUUGCAGAAUUCAGUGAAUCAUCGAAUCUUUGAACGCACAUUGCGCCCCCUGGUAUUCCGGGGGGCAUGCCUGUUCGAGCGUCAUUUCAACCCUCAAGCUCUGCUUGGUAUUGGGCGUCGCCGGGGAGUCUCUCUCCGGCGUGCCUCAAAGCCAUCGGCGGUGGUGCCUUUCUCUAAGCGUGGUAGAAUUUUUAUUCGCUUCUGAGUUGGGCUUCGCCUGCCGGACAAACCGGGCCCUCGCGGCCCACCUUCUCAGGUUGACCUCGGAUCAGGUAGGGAUACCCGCUGAACUUAAGCAUAUCAAUAAGCGGAGGA